rnacentral:lncRNA from 1 species
UCAUGGGGCAGAUCCCGAACCCGCUGUCCAGCUAAGGAGUAAAAGGCGAGGACCAGCGGCUUCAAACCUAUUGGAUCGGAGGGGCAGGAGGAGAAUAAUUUUUGUCAGUAAUUUCUCAAAGAUUUCAUCUUUUAGCACUUGGUUUACGAGUUACUGUGCUAACUCCAGAAACGAAAUAGAUUAUCAGAAGGCAAUCCUGAAAAAUCUUUGAGAAAAAGGAUAUCCCUAUAAAAUUCAAAGGAGUCUUAAGAAUCACCACGAUAAGU